AUUGAACGCUGGCGGCAGGCCUAACACAUGCAAGUCGAACGAGUGGCGGACGGGUGAGUAAUGUCUGGGAAACUGCCUGAUGGAGGGGGAUAACUAUUUGAAACGGUAGCUAAAACCGCAUACCAUCGGAGGCGCACAGUUGGGAUUAGCUAGUAGGUGGGGUAAAGGCUCACCUAGGCGACGAUCCCUAGCUGGUCUGAGAGGCUUACCAGCCACACUGGAACUGCGACACGGCCCAGACUCCUACGGGAGGCAGCAGUAGGGAAUAUUGCACAAUGGGCGCAAGCCUGAUGCAGCCAUGCCGCGUGAGUGAAGAAGGCUUUCGGAUUGUAAAGUACUUUCAGUGGGGAAGCGUUACCCGCAGAAGAAGCACCGGCUAACUCCGUGCCAGCCGCCGCGGUAAUAC
rnacentral:rRNA from 1 species